AACGCUAGCUACAGGCUUAACACAUGCAAGUCGAGGGGCAGCAUGGUCUUAGCUUGCUAAGGCCGAUGGCGACCGGCGCACGGGUGAGUAACACGUAUCCAACCUGCCGUCUACUCUUGGACAGCCUUCUGAAAGGAAGAUUAAUACAAGAUGGCAUCAUGAGUCCACAUGUUCACAUGAUUAAAGGUAUUCCGGUAGACGAUGGGGAUGCGUUCCAUUAGAUAGUAGGCGGGGUAACGGCCCACCUAGUCUUCGAUGGAUAGGGGUUCUGAGAGGAAGGUCCCCCACAUUGGAACUGAGACACGGUCCAAACUCCUACGGGAGGCAGCAGUGAGGAAUAUUGGUCAAUGGGCGAGAGCCUGAACCAGCCAAGUAGCGUGAAGGAUGACUGCCCUAUGGGUUGUAAACUUCUUUUAUAAAGGAAUAAAGUCGGGUAUGGAUACCCGUUUGCAUGUACUUUAUGAAUAAGGAUCGGCUAACUCCGUGCCAGCAGCCGCGGUAAUACGGAGGAUCCGAGCGUUAUCCGGAUUUAUUGGGUUUAAAGGGAGCGUAGAUGGAUGUUUAAGUCAGUUGUGAAAGUUUGCGGCUCAACCGUAAAAUUGCAGUUGAUACUGGAUAUCUUGAGUGCAGUUGAGGCAGGCGGAAUUCGUGGUGUAGCGGUGAAAUGCUUAGAUAUCACGAAGAACUCCGAUUGCGAAGGCAGCCUGCUAAGCUGCAACUGACAUUGAGGCUCGAAAGUGUGGGUAUCAAACAGGAUUAGAUACCCUGGUAGUCCACACGGUAAACGAUGAAUACUCGCUGUUUGCGAUAUACAGCAAGCGGCCAAGCGAAAGCGUUAAGUAUUCCACCUGGGGAGUACGCCGGCAACGGUGAAACUCAAAGGAAUUGACGGGGGCCCGCACAAGCGGAGGAACAUGUGGUUUAAUUCGAUGAUACGCGAGGAACCUUACCCGGGCUUAAAUUGCAGAUGAAUUACGGUGAAAGCCGUAAGCCGCAAGGCAUCUGUGAAGGUGCUGCAUGGUUGUCGUCAGCUCGUGCCGUGAGGUGUCGGCUUAAGUGCCAUAACGAGCGCAACCCUUGUUGUCAGUUACUAACAGGUUCCGCUGAGGACUCUGACAAGACUGCCAUCGUAAGAUGUGAGGAAGGUGGGGAUGACGUCAAAUCAGCACGGCCCUUACGUCCGGGGCUACACACGUGUUACAAUGGGGGGUACAGAGGGCCGCUACCACGCGAGUGGAUGCCAAUCCCAAAAACCUCUCUCAGUUCGGACUGGAGUCUGCAACCCGACUCCACGAAGCUGGAUUCGCUAGUAAUCGCGCAUCAGCCACGGCGCGGUGAAUACGUUCCCGGGCCUUGUACACACCGCCCGUCAAGCCAUGGGAGCCGGGGGUACCUGAAGUGCGUAACCGCGAGGAGCGCCCUAGGGUAAAACUGGUGACUGGGGC
rnacentral:rRNA from 1 species